UGUGGAGGGCGGGAGCGUCUCGCGCUGUUGGCGGCGUUAGAUUUUUGUCUCUCUAUCAAGAGCCUUAAGUCUCUGAAUCUUGGGGACAUAAACAAAAUAUUGGGGUCUGUGCCCUACUCCUUCCCCUUCUCUGCUUUGCUCUCUCAGAGUUUUGGAGCCUUGCUAUAUUUGAGUGAAUAAGGAGGAAGUCAUACAAUAACACGACAACGAAGAGAAGCUGGUCAUGGAUUAUCUGACCAUUGAAGUUGAGGGAAAAGCUGUGAACCCUGAGGAUGCUUUCCUGCCCCCAAGACAGAGCACCGUGGAAAUGGAGUCUACUGUAGCGCUUCUUCCUGAGUUCCAG